rnacentral:rRNA from 1 species
GGUUAAGCGACUAAGCGUACACGGUGGAUGCCCUGGCAGUCAGAGGCGAUGAAGGGCGUGCUAAUCUGCGAUAAGCGCCGGUAAGGUGAUAUGAACCGUUAUAACCGGCGAUACCCGAAUGGGGAAACCCAGUGUGAUUCGUCACACUAUCAUUAACUGAAUCCAUAGGUUAAUGAGGCGAACCGGGGGAACUGAAACAUCUAAGUACCCCGAGGAAAAGAAAUCAACCGAGAUUCCCCCAGUAGCGGCGAGCGAACGGGGAGGAGCCCAGAGCCUGAAUCAGCAUGUGUGUUAGUGGAAGCGUCUGGAAAGGCGCGCGAUACAGGGUGACAGCCCCGUACACAAAAGCGCAUGUGUUGUGAGCUCGAUGAGUAGGGCGGGACACGUGGUAUCCUGUCUGAAUAUGGGGGGACCAUCCUCCAAGGCUAAAUACUCCUGACUGACCGAUAGUGAACCAGUACCGUGAGGGAAAGGCGAAAAGAACCCCGGCGAGGGGAGUGAAAAAGAACCUGAAACCGUGUACGUACAAGCAGUGGGAGCACCCUUUGGGGUGUGACUGCGUACCUUUUGUAUAAUGGGUCAGCGACUUAUAUUCUGUAGCAAGGUUAACCGAAUAGGGGAGCCGGAGGGAAACCGAGUCUUAAUUGGGCGUUAAGUUGCAGGGUAUAGACCCGAAACCCGGUGAUCUAGCCAUGGGCAGGUUGAAGGUUGGGUAACACUAACUGGAGGACCGAACCGACUAAUGUUGAAAAAUUAGCGGAUGACCUGUGGCUGGGGGUGAAAGGCCAAUCAAACCGGGAGAUAGCUGGUUCUCCCCGAAAGCUAUUUAGGUAGCGCCUCGUGAAUUCAUCUCCGGGGGUAGAGCACUGUUUCGGCUAGGGGGCCAUCCCGGCUUACCAACCCGAUGCAAACUGCGAAUACCGGAGAAUGUUAUCACGGGAGACACACGGCGGGUGCUAACGUCCGUCGUGAAGAGGGAAACAACCCAGACCGCCAGCUAAGGUCCCAAAGUCAUGGUUAAGUGGGAAACGAUGUGGGAAGGCCCAGACAGCCAGGAUGUUGGCUUAGAAGCAGCCAUCAUUUAAAGAAAGCGUAAUAGCUCACUGGUCGAGUCGGCCUGCGCGGAAGAUGUAACGGGGCUAAACCAUGCACCGAAGCUGCGGCAGCGACACUGUGUGUUGUUGGGUAGGGGAGCGUUCUGUAAGCCUGUGAAGGUGUGUCGUGAGGCAUGCUGGAGGUAUCAGAAGUGCGAAUGCUGACAUAAGUAACGAUAAAGCGGGUGAAAAGCCCGCUCGCCGGAAGACCAAGGGUUCCUGUCCAACGUUAAUCGGGGCAGGGUGAGUCGACCCCUAAGGCGAGGCCGAAAGGCGUAGUCGAUGGGAAACGGGUUAAUAUUCCCGUACUUGGUGUUACUGCGAAGGGGGGACGGAGAAGGCUAUGUUGGCCGGGCGACGGUUGUCCCGGUUUAAGCGUGUAGGUGUGUGUUCCAGGUAAAUCCGGUUCACUUUAACACUGAGGCGUGACGACGAGGCACUACGGUGCUGAAGCAACAAAUGCCCUGCUUCCAGGAAAAGCCUCUAAGCAUCAGGUAACAUCAAAUCGUACCCCAAACCGACACAGGUGGUCAGGUAGAGAAUACCAAGGCGCUUGAGAGAACUCGGGUGAAGGAACUAGGCAAAAUGGUGCCGUAACUUCGGGAGAAGGCACGCUGACACGUAGGUGAAGUGAUUUACUCAUGGAGCUGAAGUCAGUCGAAGAUACCAGCUGGCUGCAACUGUUUAUUAAAAACACAGCACUGUGCAAACACGAAAGUGGACGUAUACGGUGUGACGCCUGCCCGGUGCCGGAAGGUUAAUUGAUGGGGUCAGCGCAAGCGAAGCUCCUGAUCGAAGCCCCGGUAAACGGCGGCCGUAACUAUAACGGUCCUAAGGUAGCGAAAUUCCUUGUCGGGUAAGUUCCGACCUGCACGAAUGGCGUAAUGAUGGCCAGGCUGUCUCCACCCGAGACUCAGUGAAAUUGAACUCGCUGUGAAGAUGCAGUGUACCCGCGGCAAGACGGAAAGACCCCGUGAACCUUUACUAUAGCUUGACACUGAACAUUGAGCCUUGAUGUGUAGGAUAGGUGGGAGGCUUUGAAGUGUGGACGCCAGUCUGCAUGGAGCCGACCUUGAAAUACCACCCUUUAAUGUUUGAUGUUCUAACGUGGACCCGUGAUCCGGGUUGCGGACAGUGUCUGGUGGGUAGUUUGACUGGGGCGGUCUCCUCCUAAAGAGUAACGGAGGAGCACGAAGGUUGGCUAAUCCUGGUCGGACAUCAGGAGGUUAGUGCAAUGGCAUAAGCCAGCUUGACUGCGAGCGUGACGGCGCGAGCAGGUGCGAAAGCAGGUCAUAGUGAUCCGGUGGUUCUGAAUGGAAGGGCCAUCGCUCAACGGAUAAAAGGUACUCCGGGGAUAACAGGCUGAUACCGCCCAAGAGUUCAUAUCGACGGCGGUGUUUGGCACCUCGAUGUCGGCUCAUCACAUCCUGGGGCUGAAGUAGGUCCCAAGGGUAUGGCUGUUCGCCAUUUAAAGUGGUACGCGAGCUGGGUUUAGAACGUCGUGAGACAGUUCGGUCCCUAUCUGCCGUGGGCGCUGGAGAACUGAGGGGGGCUGCUCCUAGUACGAGAGGACCGGAGUGGACGCAUCACUGGUGUUCGGGUUGUCAUGCCAAUGGCACUGCCCGGUAGCUAAAUGCGGAAGAGAUAAGUGCUGAAAGCAUCUAAGCACGAAACUUGCCCCGAGAUGAGUUCUCCCUGAGACUUAGAGUCUCCUGAAGGAACGUUGAAGACGACGACGUUGAUAGGCCGGGUGUGUAAGCGCAGCGAUGCGUUGAGCUAACCGGUACUAAUGAACCGUGAGGCUUAACCUU